rfam:Sarcophilus harrisii ctg7180002508856, whole genome shotgun sequence.
UACACCUUGCUUUGGCUGGUCAAACGGAACCAAGUCCGUCUGACUGAGAGGUUUGGUCCCCUUCAACCAGCUACAGCAGGGCUGACAU